AGAUUGAACGCUGGCGACGUGCUUAACACAUGCAAGUCGAACGAGAACGGUUUCCUUCGGGGAACUUAUUAAAGUGGCGCACGGGUGAGUAACGCGUAGAUAAUCUACCUUUAAGACUGGGAUAACGGACCGAAAGGUCCCCUAAUACCGGAUACGCUCUUUUUAACAUAAGUUAGAAAGAAGAAAGAUGGCCUCUCCUUGGAAGCUAUUACUUAUUGAUGAGUUUGCGUACCAUUAGCUAGUUGGUGGGGUAAAGGCCCACCAAGGCAACGAUGGUUAGCGGGUCUGAGAGGAUGAUCCGCCACACUGGAACUGAAACACGGACCAGACUCCUACGGGAGGCAGCAGUGAGGAAUUUUGCGCAAUGGGGGAAACCCUGACGCAGCGACGUCGCGUGGACGAUGAAGGCCUUAGGGUUGUAAAGUCCUGUCAGAAGGGAAGAAAUGUAUAUAGGUUAAUAUCCUAUAUGCUUGACGGUACCUUCAAAGGAAGCACCGGCUAACUCCGUGCCAGCAGCCGCGGUAAUACGGAGGGUGCAAGCGUUAAUCGGAAUUACUGGGCGUAAAGGGCGCGUAGGCGGCCUAUCAAGUCAGGUGUGAAAUCCCACGGCUCAACCGUGGACGUGCAUCUGAAACUGAUAGGCUUGAGUAUGGGAGAGGAAAGUGGAAUUCCCGGUGUAGAGGUGAAAUUCGUAGAUAUCGGGAGGAACACCAGUGGCGAAGGCGACUUUCUGGACCAAUACUGACGCUGAGGCGCGAAAGCGUGGGGAGCAAACGGGAUUAGAUACCCUGGUAGUCCACAGCUGUAAACGAUGUCAACUAGGUGUUGGGGGGGUGUUGACCCCUCCAGCGCCGCAGCUAACGCAUUAAGUUGACCGCCUGGGGAGUACGGUCGCAAGAUUAAAACUCAAGGAAUUGACGGGGGCCCGCACAAGCGGUGGA
rnacentral:rRNA from 1 species